rnacentral:rRNA from 1 species
GACGAACGCUGGCGGCGUGCUUAACACAUGCAAGUCGAGCGGUAAGGCCCUUUCGGGGGUACGACGAGCGGCGAACGGGUGAGUAACACGUGGGUGACCUGCCCUCAGCUCUGGGAUAAGCCUGGGAAACCGGGUCUAAUACUGGAUAUGACUCCAUGACGCAUGUUGUGGGGUGGAAAGCCUUGUGCGGCUGAGGAUGGGCCCGCGGCCUAUCAGCUUGUUGGUGGGGUGANGGCCUACCAAGGCGACGACGGGUAGCCGGCCUGAGAGGGCGACCGGCCACACUGGGACUGAGACACGGCCCAGACUCCUACGGGAGGCAGCAGUGGGGAAUCUUGCGCAAUGGGCGAAAGCCUGACGCAGCGACGCCGCGUGAGGGAUGACGGCCUCGGUG